UACGGGAGACAUAAGAGUGCACGGUGGAUGCCUUGGCCUAGGACGGCUAAGAAGGACGCGACUAACCUGCGAAAAGCUUCGGGGAGGCGGUUUGUAGCCUUUGAUCCGGAGAUAUCCGAAUGGGGAAACCCUCCAGUGUUGAACUGGAAUCCGUGGGGUAACGCCCGCGCGAAGCGAACCCGGGGAAGUGAAACAUCUCAGUACCCGGAGGAAAAGAGAACAAUCGGAGUUGCGUUCCAUUCAAGCGUAUGUUCGUUUGAAUGGAACGCGACUCUCGUGAUACCCCGAGUAGCGGCGAGCGAAAAGGGAAAAGCCCAAACCCGCACACUCACUUUGCCAUUGUGCCAUGCGUUGUUCCGGAAAUUGAUUUCUGGACGCGCCUGGUCCAAUGGGGCGUUCAUACUGUCACCGAAUCGGUUGGCACGAGAACAACGAUGGCAAAGUGAGUGUGCGGGGGUUGUAAGAUGCGAACAUCGUACUUGUACGAGAAGAGUUAUCAAUCGUCUGUAUAACAGAAGCUGCUGGGAAGCAGCGCCCCAGAGGGUAAUGGCCCCGUAUGUGAAAUACAUGACGACUCUUGUUCGUAUUCUUGAGUAGCUCGAGACAUGAAUAGCUCGAGUGAAUCUGCCGGAACUAACCGGUAAGGCUAAAUACGUCCUAUGACCGAUAGUGAACUAGUACCGUGAGGGAAAGGUGAAAAGCACCCCGAGAGGGGAGUGAAAUAGACCUGAAACCGUGUACUUACAAGGGGUCGGAGCGGAUGCUUGCAUCCGUGACGGCAUGCCUAUUGAAGAAUGAGCCGGCGAGUGUCCCUGCACUGCUUGUCUAAGAGGUUACGCCUCGAAGGCUAAGCGAAAGCGAGUGUUAACAGCGCGUCCGUGGAGUUUUCUCCACCGGCAGUGUUGGGACGACCCGAAGCCAGAUGAGCUUGCCAUGAGCAGGGUGAAGUUUGUCGAAAGACAGAUGGAGGCCCGAACCCGUAGAUCGUACAACGUCUUGGGAUGACUUGUGGCAAGGAGUGAAAAGCUAAUCGAAUCUGGGAAUAGCUGGUUCUCUCCGAAACAGCUUUUGGGCUGGCGUUGCGAACAGUGCGCGUGGGGGUAGAGCACUGGAAGGGACCAACAGGGAGAAAUCUCGUGGUUCCUAUCAAACUCCGAAUACCACGCGCUCGCGCAGCAGUUAGAAGGUGGGGGCGAAGCUCCAUCGAUCGAGAGGGGAAGAGCCCUGAUCGCCAAUUAAGGCCCCAAAAUCGACAUUCAGUACAUCACAAGGAAGUGAGGAUCCAUAGACAGUGAGGAUGUUGGCUUAGAAGCAGCCACCAUUUAAAGAAAGCGUAACAGCUCACUCAUCGAGGGUUCUUGCGCCGAAGAUGAUCGGGGUUAAAUGUCGUGCCGAAAUUGCGGGUUUGUGCGCUUCAUUGAGGAGAUGUUCAUUCAACAAAGUUAACGAUGAGGAGGUGCGAGAUGAAACAGUACCUACUGACCUACAAGGUAAGUUCAUUCGACGGACAGUCCAUUGUCGCAACCACUAUCAUCGCAGAAGAUGAUAUGGAGGCUGGAGUCUUGGCAAAGAAAGCGUGGAAGGUAAUCAAGCAACGAGAUACAUGUUGUUACUCAACCUAUCCCGAGCUCUUCAGUCUAGACAGCAAAGAGAUAGCCAUUCGAUUCGAAUGAAUUUUAGAAAUGGAGGCGGUAAACAUGAAGCCGAGGAGUCCCCUCGGCUCCUCAAUGAAGCGCACAAGCGGUAGGAGAGCGUUCUGUUCGCGCUGAAGCUUAAGGGAUAACCCAAGGUGGAGCGUACAGAAGUGAGAAUGCCGGUACAAGUAACCACAAUGCGGGUGAGAACCCCGCACGUCGAAAGACCAAGGUUUCCUCAGCUAUGGUGAUCAACUGAGGGUUAGUCGGGCCUAAGGGGAUGGCGAGAGCCGAACCCGAUGGACACACGGUCAAUAUUCCGUGACCGUUUAUAGGGGCUAAGGAGUGACGGACUGCUGUAUGGGUUGCCGGUAAUUGGAUUCCGGUCAUUACUGCGAGGGCGCGCGUUAGGGAAAUCCGGCGCGCAUUACCCCGAGCAGUAGCGCAAUUUUCUCCUUCGGGGGAAGAGAGAACGCAAAGCGCGGUUUCAAGAAAAUCUUCUACGCAUUCAACUCUAUAGACGCCCGUACCGCAUACCGACACAGGUGGUCCGGUCGAGAAGACCAAGACGAACGAGUAAGAUGUCCUCAAGGAACUCGGCAAAAAAGCGGCCGUAAGUUAGCGAUAAGGCCUGCCCCUUGCCUGCAAGGGUGGGGGGCCGCAGUGAAAGUUUUUCUGGCAACUGUUUACCAAAAACACAGCUCCCUGCAAACUCGUAAGAGGAAGUAUAGGGGGUGACACCUGACCAAUGCCGAAAGGUUAACCAUGGUUGGUGCAAUUACUUCGGUGAUUGUGCUGGACUGUGUAAGCCCCGGUGAAUGUCGGCGAUAACUAUAAUCGUCCUAAGGUUCCGGGCUCGACACUUUGUCGAACCCGGAAGGACUAGGACGGUUAUAGGGUGAACAGAGAAAUACACCAAGUUACCUGAGUAUGAAGCAAUUCAUACUUUGUCCAAUGUGACUCUAAGAGGCCAUACGUCAUAGUCCAGACAUUUCGGUGUUUGGAACAAGAUAUGGUCCUUCGCGUGUCUUUAAGGAAUCGAAGAGCGUAAUUCCUUGUCGGGUAAGUUCCGACGUGCACGAAUGGUGUAAUGACUGGAAAACUGUCUCGAGGACUCGCUCGGUGAAAAUGCACUUCCGGUGAAGAUGCCGGAUACCUGUAGUUAGACGAAAAGACCCCAGGAGCUUUACUACAGCUUCGUAUUGGCCCUGCGGGAUUCAUGCGUAGCAUAGAUGGGAGACUUUGAAGCGCCGCUCUCGGGUGGCGUGGAGUCGUCAGUGAAAUACCAUUCUUGAAUCUUGCAGUGUCUAACCUUGUUGGGAUCCAACAGGGGACCGUGCGUGGCGGGUAGUUUUGGUGGGGCGCUAUCCUCCUAAAAAGUAACGGAGGAGUCUAUUAAGGUUCUCUAGCCGCGAAUGGAAACCGUGGCGAUAGUGUAAGAGCAUAAGAGAGCUUAACUGCGAGGGGUACGUCCCAAGCAGAUGCGAAAGCAGAGUCUAGUGAACCGAUGGUACGCCUUAGAUGCGGCCAGAGAUUAACGGAUAUAAGUUACCCUGGGGAUAACAGGCUAGUUCCGCCCAAGCGUCCAUAGCGACGGCGGAGUUCGGCACCUCGAUGUCGGCUCACCUUAGCGCGG
rnacentral:rRNA from 1 species